GACGAAGGGGGCUAGCGUUGUUCGGAAUUACCGGGCGUAAAGGGCGCGCAGGCGGCUGCUCAAGUCAGGCGUGAAAGGCCUGGGCUCAACCCGGGAAUUGCGCUUGAGACUGGGCUGGCUUGAGGUGCGGGAGAGGAUGGUGGAAUUCCCAGUGUAGAGGUGAAAUGCGCAGAUAUCGGGAGGAACGACCAGUAGCGAAGGCGGCUCGCUGGGCCGUUCGUGACGCUGAGACGCGAAAGCUAGGGGAGCGAACAGG
rnacentral:rRNA from 1 species